rnacentral:rRNA from 1 species
AUUGAACGCUGGCGGCAGGCCUAACACAUGCAAGUCGAGCGAGUGGCGGACGGGUGAGUAAUGUCUGGGAAACUGCCUGAUGGAGGGGGAUAACUACUGGAAACGGUCGCUAAUACCGCAUACCAUCAGAUGUGCCCAGAUGGGAUUAGCUUGUAGGUGGGGUAAUGGCUCACCAAGGCGACGAUCCCUAGCUGGUCUGAGAAGAUGACCAGCAACACUGGAACUGAGACACGGUCCAGACUCCUACGUGAGGCAGCAGUGGGGAAUAUUGCACAAUGGGCGCAAGCCUGAUGCAGCCAUGCCGCGUGUAUGAAGAAGGCCUUCGGGUUGUAAAGUACUUUCAGCGGGGAGGCGUUACUCGCAGAAGAAGCACCGGCUAACUCCGUGCCAGCAGCCGCGGUAAUAC